UAGGGAAUCUUCCGCAAUGGACGCAAGUCUGACGGAGCAACGCCGCGUGAGUGAAGAAGGAUUUCGGUUCGUAAAACUCUGUUGUUAGAGAAGAACAGCGCAUAGAGUAACUGUUAUGCGUGUGACGGUAUCUAACCAGAAAGGGACGGCUAACUACGUGCCAGCAGCCGCGGUAAUACGUAGGUCCCGAGCGUUGUCCGGAUUUAUUGGGCGUAAAGCGAGCGCAGGCGGUUAGAAAAGUCUGAAGUGAAAGGCAGUGGCUCAACCAUUGUAGGCUUUGGAAACUGUUUAACUUGAGUGCAGAAGGGGAGGGUGGAAUUCCAGGGGUAGCGGUGAAAUGCGUAGAUAUAUGGAGGAACACCGGUGGCGAAAGCGGCUCUCUGGUCUGUAACUGACGCUGAGGCUCGAAAGCGUGGGGAGCGAACAGG
rnacentral:rRNA from 1 species